rnacentral:rRNA from 1 species
GGCCAGACUCCUACGGGAGGCAGCAGUGGGGAAUAUUGCACAAUGGGGGAAACCCUGAUGCAGCGACGCCGCGUGAAGGACGAAGUAUUUCGGUACGUAAACUUCUCUCAGCAGGGAAGAAAAUGACGGUACCUGACCAAGAAGCCCCGGCUAACUACGUGCCAGCAGCCGCGGUAAUACGUAGGGGGCAAGCGUUAUCCGGAUUUACUGGGUGUAAAGGGAGCGUAGACGGCCAUGCAAGUCUGAUGUGAAAACCCGGGGCUCAACCCCGGGACUGCAUUGGAAACUGUGCGGCUGGAGUGUCGGAGAGGCAAGUGGAAUUCCUAGUGUAGCGGUGAAAUGCGUAGAUAUUAGGAGGAACACCAGUGGCGAAGGCGGCCUGCUGGACGACGACUGACGUUGAGGCUCGAAAGCGUGGGGAGCAAACAGGAUUAGAUACCCCUGUAU